CUGACCGGCACAAACGGUCGCUGGGCGAAUUAACGCCGGGAGGAAAGUCCGAACACCACAGGGCAGGACGCUCCAUAACGUGGAGUCACGGUGACGUGAAGGAAAGUGCAACAGAGAGUAGACCGCCCAGCCACUCACUCAAUCGAANNUUCGAUUGAGUGAGUGGCUGGGUAAGGGUGAAACGGUGCGGUAAGAGCGCACCAGUUCUCCGGGUGACCGGGGAAGCUUGGUAAACCCCGUCCGGUGCAAGACCAAAUAGAGAGACGCUUGAGGGCUGCCCGCCCAAGUCUCCGGGUAGGUUGCUCGAGAUGUAUGGCAACAUGCAUCCUAGAUGAAUGACCGUUGAUCUUUUUGCGGGUAACCGCAAGAAGGUAACAAAAUUCGGCUUACGGGCCGGUCAGACCG
rnacentral:RNase_P_RNA from 1 species